GGAACGCUAGUCAUAGGUAAGACACCUCACUUGCUACGUGAGUGGAUUUAUCCUGGUGAGUUCGAAUCUCACGUGUUCCG
rnacentral:tRNA from 1 species